AACGCACAUUGCGCCCAUUAGUAUUCUAGUGGGCAUGCCUGUUCGAGCGUCAUUUCAACCCUCAAGCUUAGCUUGGUUUUGGAGUAUUUGGGCCCUCUGGGCCUGAAGCUCUGAAAGAUAUUGGCGGCGUGCCGCAGUACUCUCUAUGUAGUAAAUUAUUUUCAUAGGGCUGCUAGUGGUGCCUGUCGGCCACUAAUCGAGUCUCCGACUCAAAAAAUAAAAUGGUUGACCUCGGAUCAGGUAGGAAUACCCGCUGAACUUAA
rnacentral:misc_RNA from 1 species